GAGGGAUCCAGCAACUUGGCCAAGAUGGUAUAACCAGCAAAAGCAGAGAGCCCAGGCUUGUCCAAGCCCCUGAUUCUAUGCUGCCCUCAUCCCAGGCCUGGUAGUCGUAGUAGGCCUGCUGGAAGAUUACGGGGAUAAUAUUGUGCCAGGAACAGUGAAGCUUUCUCAUUCCAUCUUCCCAGCAAUCCCUUGAGAUGGCCAUAAACGGUGAGGCAGCGCCUGUGCCUGGCAACCACAGACUUUUAAGCCCUAAUCACAGCUCUGCAGUCAGCUUCCAAGUAGUCCUGCUCCUGGAAGUCAGAGAACAUCCUGUCCUGCCCUCCCAGUGGGAGACAGAAGGAGACAGCUGAAUGGAAUGGGAUGCCCAGCCUCCUGCAGGGCUCCGAGGCUCCUGUAGACCCGGAGUUGUCGGAGUUGUUGCCAGAACCUUCCUCAGCCCCAGCUGCCCUGCGUGCCACCCCUGUCACAGCAGAUCCUGCCAUGCCCAUGACAAAGUUCUUUCCUCCUGCCCAGCUUACCUGUAUCCCACAGAAAGGCACCUUCUCAGUCAUCCAGACCUGCUCAGGCACAGGCUUUGGAGUCAACAGACCUGAAUGCUAGCUAGCUCUGCUUCUCAGGCAAGCCAUUUAACUUCUCUGCCUCAGUUUCCUCAUCUGAAAUUGGAGUUAGUAGUACCUAUCUCUUGGGGUUAUUGUUCAGGAAUAAAGGAGAAAGUAUCAUCAGUAAGGCAGUUAGCACAGUUCCUAGCCCACAGAAACUGCUUAGCAGAAUGUAGAUAAUAAUGUUAUUCUUAUUUCUGCUUCUAAGUGUUAGCUUCCAAGCCCCACCUCAAUA